UGCAGGACAGCUCAGUUGGUAAAGCAUGAAACCCUUAAUCUCAGGGCCCUGGGUUCAAGCCCUAUGUUGGGCAA